UAGGGAAUCUUCCGCAAUGGACGCAAGUCUGACGGAGCAACGUCGCGUGAGUGAAGAAGGAUUUCGGUUCGUAAAACUCUGUUGUUAGAGAAGAACAGCGCAUAGAGUAACUGUUAUGCGUGUGACGGUAUCUAACCAGAAAGCCACGGCUAACUACGUGCCAGCAGCCGCGGUAAUACGUAGGUGGCAAGCGUUGUCCGGAUUUAUUGGGCGUAAAGCGAGCGCAGGCGGUCAAUUAAGUCUGAUGUGAAAGCCCCCGGCUCAACCGGGGAGGGUCAUUAGAAACUGGUUGACUUGAGUGCAGAAGAGGAGAGUGGAAUUCCAUGUGGAGCGGUGAAAUGCGUAGAUAUAUGGAGAAACACCAGUGGCGAAGGCGACUCUCUGGUCUGUAACUGACGCUGAGGCUCGAAAGCGUGGGUAGCAAACAGG
rnacentral:rRNA from 1 species